UGUUUUAGUCAUGUUCUCAGAAAAAAUACGUAUAGGCUACAGAACAUUAAAGAUAGCUAUAUCGAAACACUUUGCUAAUAAUAAAGGAUUAAGCUUCUGUAGCCUACUUUUUGAAGAUGGGGUGAAAACAGGCACCCUUUUUUUGUCUUUAUUUUGUUUUGCGUUUUCUUGAUGCUGCGUCAAUGCGUAACUUUUCUUUGUAAAUCCAGCUGGCACGCACUCAAUUCCACCAUCUAUCACUAAACACCACAACAAUUUUACCUCGACAGUUUACAGCCGACAUCCGAAAUCAUCGUGUUGAUCAUUGAUACUUGGCUAACAGGAGCCGAGGUGGGGGAGCUUCAGUUGAUUGGAAAAGUGUAGUUCAUUCAGUUUAUCAAAAUCACGUGGAUGGAAAAGACUAUCUUUAGGUCAUUUAAAAACAGACUGGAAUUGCUGUUUCUGUGUGCUGCAAUGCUGGGGAAGAAUCAGAUGUGAUCACGCACAUGUGAAACUGUCUGCAUCCAUGAAAACUUGCAAAGCAAAAUUGCAAAACUGCCCCAGCAAUAUGGUUACAACAACAAAGAUGUGUGAAGGGAUGGGGUCCGCGCCUCUAGUCCGAUACAGUGGUAACUCCGGUGCGUAACUCCAAAAAAUUUCGGGCUUAGCCCAUCAUCAAUGUAAUUGGUAAAUACUAAUUACAUUGAUGAUGGGCUAAGCCCGAAACGUUUGUAUCUCUGCAUCUUUGGCCAUUUGAUUAUUUCGGCACAGAAUAAAUGUUUGACAUUAUUUGGAUUACUGUGUGCAGACUUUUCUUCUCUACAACAACAAAGAUAAAAUAUAGCUGCAAACAGCCAUUACUGGGGUCAAGCCAAAAGGGCACAGAAUGAAGUAAAGAUGAGUUUGGAUGAGCAAAGAACCUAGGAAAACCUUUUGAUGUCAGAUAAAAGAAUAUGUUCUCAUUCAGUGAAAUCUCUCCCUCCCUUCAUGAAGAGCAUUAUCCAAAGAGCCCACCCCCAUGUCUCUAUGAUGUUCUGAUGCAAAGAUAUAGUUCUUGCAAUAACGGUUGAUAAGAUAUUCUCAUUGGUUGUUAGGGAGUGAAUUGACAUCCACCAAUGAUUAUACUCCAAGCCAUGAAAAGAAUAAUCCAUGAUGAUUCAAGGUUUUAGAUGUACUGUUGCAGUAGUUUUAGGCAAAAAUUACUAUUUUUCUAUCUCAAAAACCACUAGGUGGCGCUAUGACAAAAUUGUGCAUGCAACCUAAGGUCAUGACUGUGUUACAUCUAGCUAGUUUCAUGACUAUUUUUUUGCAAUUUUCGGCCAUUUCUGAUGGAAAUUUGAAUAUAACGCCAAAUAUAGUUUUUUGUUCAGAAGGUAAUGCAUUGUUCUUCCUAUGGUGGUUUCGAUUCGAUUGGAAUAACACUCGCUGAAAUAUUAACACAUGUUUUUUAAGCGCUAUUUUGCUGUUCAGGGCUAACCAUAAGAAGAAUUCUGGUACGUUUGGUAUCAUUGGACUCUGCAACUAUAUCAAGUCCCAUGAAAAUAUGUCGAUCGCAGAAGUUGAAAAAAAUCUGAAGUUAUAAGCAAAAACGUAAGUGCAACUUCAAAUUUGCUGUGGAUAUUAUUUGGACUAUCCUUUAUCACCAAAUUUCAUAACUUUCCUAUGUAUGGUUCUAUGGGCUGCCAUAGACAGCAAUGGAACAGGAAAAAGAAUAAUAAUAAUGAAAAAGAAAACUGACAUUCUGGGCUUGACCCCUAAAUUGCAAAGGUAUAUGUGACCCUGGACCACAAAGCCAGUCUUAAGGGUCAAUGUUUUGAAAUUGAGAUGUAUACAUAAUCUGAAAGCUGUAUGGUUUAUUUGGAUAGGACAAUAUUUGGCCGAGAUACAACUAUUUGAAAAUCUGGAACCUAAGGAAAAAAAUAAAAAUAUUGACAAAAUCGCCUUUAAAGUCCAAUAUUAAAUGUGUUCUCAGUUUGUGACACCACAGAAAAAUAUGUGAUAUUAACCAAU